CGUCGAAGUUGGGUCCGUGUGCUGGGUUAGUACGGUGGGUGUGAGCGUGAAUCGGAUUUACUGGGCGUAAUGCGUGCGUAGUCGGCUGAUUAAGUCGGAUUGUAAAUCCCUGAGCUUAACGUAGGAAUUGCAUUCGAGACUGGUCAGCUAGAGUAUGGGAGAGGAUGGUAGAAUUCCAGGUGUAGCGGUGAAAUGCGUAGAGAUCUGGAGGAAUACCGAUGGCGAAGGCAGCCAUCUGGCCUAAUACUGACGCUGAGGUACGAAAGCAUGGGGAGCAAACAGGAUUAGAUACCCGGUAGUC
rnacentral:rRNA from 1 species